ACACCAUUGCUGUGGUGCGUAUCUGCAACGUUUUCUAAAUUAAUUCCUACCAUAUAAUGUAUAUUUUUUAUCCGUACAUACGCCGAUACGGCCUUUAUCUGGAGCCCUGAUAAGAGUUUCCUUCAUUCCUUCUUGGGGGCAUUGGAUUGGUGCAUCACUGUGAAAAUUCUGCGAUGAUUUACUAGCCACUAGAUUAUUUCUGACAUGGACACCUUUGUUCAGGUACUACUUAAAAGAAAUUAGAAAACACCUGAUUUUUGGUCAAAAGUUGUCAUGUCAUGACACAUGAACUAAAGUCAUGGAAAACAUGAAUUCUCGUAGAAUAAAUCAUGAAUAAAUGUCAUGUCAUGACACAACUAUAGCCAUGAAGAAAUUAGGUUUUCCUGAACUCCUUUUGGGUAGUAUAUUUACUUCUUUCAUCCAGCAGAAAUCUAACAAUCACAUUUGUUGAUGUAAGUACUUCCUUGGCUGUUUCAAAGCCAAUAUAGUGUAUUGAUAGGAAUCCACCGAGUAUUAGGGUAACUGUGUUUUAAUGCUGAUCUUUUCAAACUGCAUUUACUCAUGAAGCAAGAUUCAUAUCAACAAUUUGGUCAAUAUUAAUGUGCAUUUUGGGUAUAUCAAGCCUGUUUCUUUGCAGUGUGUAUGAACCUGUAAUAUAUUUUAAAAUAUACCACUGAUAUUACAACUAAAUCUUGUCAAUUUUUAUGAUAUAUACUACUCUAACAAGAAGCACUUGAUUCUUUCAUAUUUCUAUGGUUCGUUUGUCUUGCCAAUUCAAACUAUUGUAAAUGAAAGAAUUCAGCCAUUGCAGAGUAACUAGGAAAAUGAAAGAAUUAGGUGGUCCUUGAUCUUAUGUGGUGUAAUUAAGCUAUCGGUAGAAUGUUGUUAGUUGGUUUGGGUCUGAUCGGAGCAUGCAAGUUACAAGAGUCAGUGAUGGAAUGUCAAAAUGAAAAUUCAAGGUCCAGAAUGUUUUUUAAUAUCUACACCAUGUGGAUUUGCUUCCAGAUUUAAGUAAGGUUAUUUAUUGCAUAUUGACCUGUGACAUUGAAUAGAACCUGCAGCUGGUCAGUGUACAGGGCAAACUCGGCUUCCAUAGUCUCACUGGUGGCCAAAGAAGCAUGCAUUAUUUCUGUAAAAGUAAAUUGUAGAGAAAAAGUAUUAUUUCAGCUCUGAUUUCUUUUUGUCAUUUUUUGACAACUUGUAGGAUGAACUGUGAGUGCAGAUUUGCAUGUUAAAGACUUUUGAAUACAGUAAGCUAUGUUUAUUACGACCAUGAUUAUAACGAACUAAUAGAUGUAACCAACCUGGGGGUGGUGGGAUAGUCUAGUGGUUAAAGCGUUUGCUCAUCACAGCGAAGACCCGGGUUCAAUUCUCCACAUUGGCAAAAUGUGUGAAGCCCAUUCUUGGUGUCCCCUGCCAUGAUAUUGCUGGAAUAUUGCUAAAAGUGGCGUAAAACCAAACUCACUCACUCACUAUGACUAACUGGGUUUUUUCCUGACCAUUUUCUUUAUCUUUUAGUUGAAAUGCGUAUAAUAAACUACAGUUAAUAUGACCUGAAAUGAGUGGUAUUUGGAGUUUUGUUUGUUUUAAACAUAGCUUACUGUAAUCAGCAUCAUUUGAAACUUCUUGUUUUGUUUAUUUUCAUGUGAAAUUUCAUUUAUAUCAGAGCUGAGCUUAGGUUAAAAAAAAUGAAAAUUGUUAAUGAGGCAAAUUGUGUUCUGGGAACUCACUGUGUAAGUACAAUGGAAGUCUGAACAAGGAACCAUUUCUUCACCAAUGUUACCAUUUCAGAAUGGUUAAAUAUUGUUAGGGUUGCAAUGUAUCUCUGCAAUUUAUUUACAAAGUUAACUUACCAACUGCCAAACAGCCUGCAACAGUCUUCAUUCUGGUCGUAUUAGUGUCUGUUUAGAAUUUGUAUCCAUAAUUUAUAUUGUCCGUUUUUCAUGUUCAUUGUUAUUCUGUAAAUGGUAAGAAACUAUGUCAUGUUGUGUACCUUGAUAUUACAGAGUAUAUUUGGUUUGUUUCAGAUAUUUUAUAAGGAUAUUUUUUGAACUCGAAAUAACCCUCAAAUUAAUUUUGUGAGACCUGAUUUUUAUGGUAGCAAAAUCCAGUGGCAUUUUUCAUGGGUAUUUGACUGUAACUGCCAAGAAAUGAGUGAGAUGUAGUGGAAAUGGUUUGUUGAUGUUGUGUAAGCACUUCUGUAUUUAAAGGAGUUCUUUAGGGCAUAAUAAAACUGCCCUUGACCUUUCUAUUUACUUUUUGUUAGCAAUAUGACACAUGCAUUAUUAAUAUGACCAUGUAUUCUGUAAAUGACUUUUGCUAAGAGAUGUCAUUGACAUUAAAAUGGAAAGCAUUCAGGGUUUGCCGCAGGAACUUUUAAGCCUUGAAUGUUUAUAUCGGACGAGAAUUAUAUAUAACAGCAUGUUUCACUUCACUUUGGGAAGACAGGUUUACAUGAAACAGAAUUAUCAUUAAUGUCAAAAUUUAAUUCUAGAUGUGAUUGGAAUUGCAGCACUAACUUUAUGUCAACACUUGUCGAAUGGGUUUGGACCAAAAUUCUAUUGGCCAGGUCUGACACUGUCUAAUUUUGAGUAUCUAGUGACAUCUAUCUAUGGUUAUGUGUCAACCAAUCACGUCGUCUAAUAAUGUAUCAUUUGAUCAUGAUAACUGAUGCAGUAUGAUAUGAGAGGCUUCCCUCUGGUUUCCACGGUGAUCAGUAACCUUGUCUGACAUCAUAGAGGGAGGUUUUAAAGACCAUUAUGAUCCCAAGCAGUCUGACAUCCUAUAGAGCGAGUCGUGAAGACACUUUCCAGUGGAUGAGAUGAUUACAGUCAGUGGCUUUGAUGAUGAUGUACCGUCAUCAUUUAUCAUUGCUCAUGACAUUUAUCACUGGUAUAGCUACUUAGUGAUAUUCUGGAGGUGCUUGUUUUCUCCAAAAAUGUAGCUGUUUAAGAUAAACACAAGCCUGAAAUGAUGGACAAACUAGCCCGAUUCAACCAAAAUGGAUUGUGAAAUGAUCCAGACCUGGGUCCCAAUCAACAAAGUAUUCAUAGUGUUACGAGCUAUCGUAACUCAAUAGUUUAUCAUAGGAUUAAAAUUGAUGUAGUGCUUCGAAUGCUUUGUGGAUGGGGACCUUGAUUACAUUUAUUCAUAGAGGGCGUUGGGGUAGCCUAACAGUUAAAGCGUCCGCUCGUCACGCUGAACACCUGGGUUUGAUUCCCCACGUGGGUACAAUGUCUGAAGCCCAUUUCUGGUGUCAUCCGCCGUGAUAUUGCUAAAAGCGGUGUUAAACCAUACUCACUUACUACUGAAAAUGACACUAACAUCUAAAACAAGUGUAAACCUUAAUGUAUAUUGGUCUAUAAAAUCUGUGUAAUCUAAAAAAGAACAUUCAAGGCUUAUGUGCUCCUGUUAUUAUUUGAGGCUUUAUUUUUGACUUGGUUUAAACACACAUUAAGUCCUGCUAUAACAUGAACACGGAACAAACUUCCUAUAGGAUUCAUUGACUUCUCUGUGGGGAGGAACUGUUUUGCUAAUUUAUUAAAUUUGCCAUUUAAUGCUUCCAGUAUUUGAUUUUACAAAUUAUAUUUUUUGGCAGUAUGGACAGACUUCAGCUGGAAUAUAUUUUCAUGUGAACAUUUACAGAAUAAAAGCAUAUAUGCUGUCCUGGAUUCCAAGAUGAAUGGUUAAUGCUAGUGAUGUAAGCAGUGCAUCUUUACGAAGUAUUUUUUAAAACAAUUUGCUGAAACAUAUCGUCAGAACGACAUCUAUUUUUCUUUCAUCCAAUUACCAGUCUACAUGUUAUAUAUUGUUUGUUUUAUUCUCAGUUUGUUAAAACGUAUCCUCACUGUUAAAAAUAUAUUUUAGUUGACUCUACUUCUUUUGAAGCAGUGUCUUGUUUACACAGUGGUCUGUAGUUUGGACUAACUGUUUAUUUUGAGUGCAGAGAUAGUCCAGUCGAAGGAAGGAACCUAAUUCUAUCUACACCUGAGGCUUUUGGGGCGAUGGGGUAGCCUAGUGGUUUAGGUGUUUGCUUGUCACGCCGAAGACACGGGUUCGAUUCCCCACAUGAGUACAAUGUGUGAAGCCCAUUUCUGGUGUCCCCGCCCUGAUAUUGCUGGAAUAUUGCAAAAAGCAGUUUAAAACUAAACUCAAUCACUCACAAAGGGUCACAUGUUACCCAUACCAACUUUUAUUAAUGACAAAGAAGUGAGAUUUGGUGCUUUCACUGAAAGGUUGAAAACAAAGGUCCCGAGUAUCCAAUGGUUGUCAUAUGAGCCAGUGAGGGAGGAUUGGGUGGUAAGUUUUGGUUUCCAUGGCACCUGUACUGUCAUUGGUCUAGACGGACUGACAGUGAUACAGUUGAGAUGCUGUGGUAAUACUUAUCCUCAAAUGUAGAAGGUUCCCGCCUCCUAUGUAUCGGUCAUCUGAGCACUUUAAUUGCAGUUACAGGAACGUGUGGCAUCUCUAUUUUGUUUGCUUCAUGGAACAGGAAUACAUUCAUAAGUAAAUUGUUGAUAUGCUUGUUUUUGCAUUUCAGUCUCGUUUUGGGUUUUUUGGUUGUUGUUUUUUCAAUUAAGUACUUAAAUAUAUCAACAUAAUGAUUUGGUGAAAGGUCUUUCACAAGUUUCAGAGUCAGGAAGGAGGCUUAUGAUUUAUGAAUGUCUUUUUUUUUUCAUGAUUGAAUUACAUGUCAGUGAAAGAUGCCACAUGAUGAACUGCCAUGUCUAAUUUGAUCCAUGAAGCAGACGACAAUGAAAAUGUUAUUAUUAGUUUGUUAUGAUUCUAUUACAUAAAGUUUCAUGCGUAUGGAUACUUUGAUUUCAUUCAUAUCAGGAUAGCACCAGCCCUUAUUAUCUUAAGUUAUUUUCAGUCAAAAAGACAAUGCAGAUUUCAUUUCAAUAUGUUGCAAAUGACGGAGCAUAUUGGUCAGAAUAGGACUAAUUUUAUCCUUAUUUCAUGUUAUAAAUAUUCAAACAACUCAUGUUUUGAAUUUGAUGUUUCAUUCAACUUCGGUAAAUUCAAAUCUUCUAUGCGUUUCCUAAUAUAUCUAGUGCGGAUAUCGUCUAUUAAAGAUGUGCUUGCUUGCUAACAGGAUUAGGAUACCUGAAGUUGAUGCACAUCAAAGUCAACACAUGAUUGUCCGAGCCAAACGUUUACCUGUAUGUGAAGAUUUCUGUUGACGUAAAAAUGUCCAAGGAUGUAGUAACUGAGAGUCAGUGGUGCAGGUGCUUGUUUUAGUUCUGUUUCUGCAUGUCCAGAAUCUGUAUCCAUGGCAACUUAAAUAAUGCCUGUUUCAUACAAUGUAUAUUUUGGCCACUGUAUAAUCGAUACUCUUUCAUCAGCAGUAAAAUUAAUUAAUGCAUGCUGUUAGUAAGAUAAGUUGUCAGUUUAUCUUCAUAAGAAUUCGACUCCUGAUUGUAGAUCCAAGACUGGAGAGUUUGAAUUAGACAUCACUCAACAAUUUCGAACUGAGACAGGGUGGGGAAAGGUGCCAUGUAAUCUUCACAUAUCAUCCAGUACAUCUGAGGGGCAUGGAUUGGGAGAGGUUUCUGGGCAGGAACAGGACUAAGGCACUCUACUGUAGUACCAGGGUGGAGAUUGCCUGCCUUAGUAGUGUUAUCUGUUUUGUGAUACUCGUUAUAUGCUUCUACUAUUGUUUCGUGUGUUGCUGCCGUCACCGCCGUUUUCCUUUAAGUGGUCCUGAUAUCCGAAAGUGGGCGUGGCACAGUGAGGGUGUAUCAGCUGCCUAUGCUCUUGUGUACGCCCAGGCCCAAACAGUCAAAAUAAAGGGCUUUGUGCUCAGGUGCAAAAAGUGA